rnacentral:rRNA from 1 species
GUGCAGCUGGCGAGAAUUUUUCUCAAUGGGGGCAACCCUGAAGGAGCGACGCCGCGUGGAGGAUGAAGGCUUUCGGGUUGUAAACUCCUGUCAUUUGAGAACAAGUGUUAGCAAGUAACUACUGCUAGCUUGAUAGUAUCCAGAAGAGGAAGGGACGGCUAACUCUGUGCCAGCAGCCGCGGUAAUACAGAGGUCCCAAGCGUUGUUCGGUAUUCAGUUGGGCGUAAAGGGUGCGUAGGUGGCGCGCUAAGUCAGGGUGUGAAAUCUC